GGCGUGCUUAACACAUGCAAGUCGAACGGAAAGGCCCUGCUUUUGUGGGGUGCUCGAGUGGCGAACGGGUGAGUAACACGUGAGUAACCUGCCCUUGACUUUGGGAUAACUUCAGGAAACUGGGGCUAAUACCGGAUAGGAGCUCCUGCUGCAUGGUGGGGGUUGGAAAGUUUCGGCGGUUGGGGAUGGACUCGCGGCUUAUCAGCUUGUUGGUGGGGUAGUGGCUUACCAAGGCUUUGACGGGUAGCCGGCCUGAGAGGGUGACCGGCCACAUUGGGACUGAGAUACGGCCCAGACUCCUACGGGAGGCAGCAGUGGGGAAUAUUGCACAAUGGGCGGAAGCCUGAUGCAGCAACGCCGCGUGCGGGAUGACGGCCUUCGGGUUGUAAACCGCUUUCGCCUGUGACGAAGCGUGAGUGACGGUAAUGGGUAAAGAAGCACCGGCUAACUACGUGCCAGCAGCCGCGGUGAUACGUAGGGUGCGAGCGUUGUCCGGAUUUAUUGGGCGUAAAGGGCUCGUAGGUGGUUGAUCGCGUCGGAAGUGUAAUCUUGGGGCUUAACCCUGAGCGUGCUUUCGAUACGGGUUGACUUGAGGAAGGUAGGGGAGAAUGGAAUUCCUGGUGGAGCGGUGGAAUGCGCAGAUAUCAGGAGGAACACCAGUGGCGAAGGCGGUUCUCUGGGCCUUUCCUGACGCUGAGGAGCGAAAGCGUGGGGAGCGAACAGGCUUAGAUACCCUGGUAGUCCACGCUGUAAACGGUGGGUACUAGGUGUGGGGUCCAUUCCACGGGUUCCGUGCCGUAGCUAACGCUUUAAGUACCCCGCCUGGGGAGUACGGCCGCAAGGCUAAAACUCAAAGGAAUUGACGGGGCCCCGCACAAGCGGCGGAGCAUGCGGAUUAAUUCGAUGCAACGCGUAGAACCUUACCUGGGUUUGACAUGGAUCGGGAGUGCUCAGAGAUGGGUGUGCCUCUUUUGGGGUCGGUUCACAGGUGGUGCAUGGCUGUCGUCAGCUCGUGUCGUGAGAUGUUGGGUUAAGUCCCGCAACGAGCGCAACCCUUGUUCACUGUUGCCAGCACGUUAUGGUGGGGACUCAGUGGAGACCGCCGGGGUCAACUCGGAGGAAGGUGGGGAUGACGUCAAGUCAUCAUGCCCCUUAUGUCCAGGGCUUCACGCAUGCUACAAUGGCUGGUACAGAGAGUGGCGAGCCUGUGAGGGUGAGCGAAUCUCGGAAAGCCGGUCUCAGUUCGGAUUGGGGUCUGCAACUCGACCUCAUGAAGUCGGAGUCGCUAGUAAUCGCAGAUCAGCAACGCUGCGGUGAAUACGUUCCCGGGGCUUGUACACACCGCCCGUCAAGUCAUGAAAGUUGGUAACACCCGAAGCCGGUGGCCUAACCGUUGUGGGGGAGUCGUCGAAGGUGGGACUGGUGAUU
rnacentral:rRNA from 1 species